GUGACCUCAAAUCAGGUAGGACUACCCGCUGAACUUAAGCAUAUCAAUAAGCGGAGGAAAAGAAACUAACAAGGAUUCCCCUAGUAACUGCGAGUGAAGCGGGAAAAGCUCAAAUUUAAAAUCUGGCAGUCUUUGGCUGUCCGAGUUGUAAU
rnacentral:rRNA from 1 species